CUAGCGACUUCAGAGUUUGAUCCUGGCUCAGGAUAAACGCUGGCGGCGCACAUAAGACAUGCAAGUCGAACGGAAGUCGUUGUAAUGAUAUAGACAUGAACGGAGAACUUGUUCAAAGAGAGUGAAAGUUGACUUACAACAAUGGCUUUAGUGGCGGACUGGUGAGUAACACGUAAGCAACCUGCCUAUCAGAGGGGAACAACAGUUAGAAAUGACUGCUAAUACCGCAUAUGCCUUAGUAACACAUGUUACAAAAGGGAAAGGAGCAAUCCGCUGAUAGAUGGGCUUGCGUCUGAUUAGAUUGUUGGUGGGGUAACGGCCUACCAAGUCGACGAUCAGUAGCCGGACUGAGAGGUUGAACGGCCACAUUGGGACUGAGAUACGGCCCAG
rnacentral:rRNA from 1 species